rnacentral:misc_RNA from 1 species
AAGUCGUAACAAGGUCUCCGUAGGUGAACCUGCGGAGGGAUCAUUUCUGAUUGUGUGGGUAACACCGCAUGAACAACAAUAACAACAACCCUGAUUGGGAUGAUGGUGGCCGAGGUAUAUACGGCUGGUGGUUGUGGUGGAGACUGGUGAUUUUGAGGUGUGAUUUAGGUCAUGCUUGAGAGAGAGCCGGGACACGCCCGACCGUGUGUGAACUUGAUGCAACUGAUGUUGGAAUGGCCGCGCGAGAUGUUGUGGCUGUUGGAAGAAGCGUCCGGGACAUGCCGAAUGGCAUGACUUGAUAAUCUUACAACUUUUGGCAAUGGAUCUCUUGGUUCUC